rnacentral:rRNA from 1 species
CGAGCGCAACCCUUGCCUUUAGUUGCCAGCAGUUCGGCUGGGCGACUCUAAAGGGAACUGCCGGUGUUAAACCGGAGGAAGGUGGGGAGUGACGUCAAGUCCUCAUGGCCUUUAUGACCAGGGCUACACACGUACUACAAUGGCCGAUACAAAGGGCAGCGACACUGCGAGGUGAAGCCAAUCCCGUAAAAUCGGUCUCAGUCCGGAUUGGAGUCUGCAACUCGACUCCAUGAAGUUGGAAUCGCUAGUAAUCGUGGAUCAGCAUGCCACGGUGAAUACGUUCCCGGGCCUU